GUCAUUGUCCUUGAAUUACCUGGAUCCUGCAAGUUUUCCUCCCAGAAACACCAGCAUAUCAUUACCCAUUUCCUUUGCCGUAAAAUACAACAAGUUGAUACAACUCUACACUGGUUAUCCACUUCAGCAUCACUUCUCUCGGAAAACAGAUUUGUGAUCCUUUCUUCUUUUUGUCGCCAGCACCCAUUCCAGUUCUUCCACGUCCAAACUAGAAUUCUUAUUUUAAGUUGCCAUUUUUAAUACAACUGUGCUGUCAAAGAACAGAGGAAAAAAAGAAGUAAAGUAGAGUUGCCACAGGAAGCAUCUAUGUGUGCCUUAUUAAGGUUCAAAAGAAACUACUGACUGGAUAAAAGGUUUGCCAGUCGAUUUAGUGGAUACCUGGCUUUGAAUGGAGUUAGGUUUUCGGUGUUUCAGGUGGAGUGAGG
rnacentral:lncRNA from 1 species